rnacentral:rRNA from 1 species
AACUAGUUGUGGGGGUCAUUCCACGGAUUCCGUGACGCAGCUAACGCAUUAAGUUCCCCGCCUGGGGAGUACGGCCGCAAGGCUAAAACUCAAAGGAAUUGACGGGGACCCGCACAAGCGGCGGAGCAUGCGGAUUAAUUCGAUGCAACGCGAAGAACCUUACCAAGGCUUGACAUAUACGAGAACGGGCCAGAAAUGGUCAACUCUUUGGACACUCGUAAACAGGUGGUGCAUGGUUGUCGUCAGCUCGUGUCGUGAGAUGUUGGGUUAAGUCCCGCAACGAGCGCAACCCUCGUUCUAUGUUGCCAGCACGUAAUGGUGGGAACUCAUGGGAUACUGCCGGGGUCAACUCGGAGGAAGGUGGGGAUGACGUCAAAUCAUCAUGCCCCUUAUGUCUUGGGCUUCACGUAUGCUACAAUGGCCGGUACAAAGGGCUGCAAUACCGCGAGGUGGAGCGAAUCCCAAAAAGCCGGUCCCAGUUCGGAUUGAGGUCUGCAACUCGACCUCAUGAAGUCGGAGUCGCUAGUAAUCGCAGAUCAGCAACGCUGCGGUGAAUACGUUCCCGGGUCUUGUACACACCGCCCGUCAAGUCAUGAAAGUCGGUAACACCUGAAGCCGGUGGCCUAACCCUUGUGGAGGGAG